GAUGAACGCUGGCGGCGUGCCUAAUACAUGCAAGUCGAGCGAACAGACGAGGAGCUUGCUCCUCUGACGUUAGCGGCGGACGGGUGAGUAACACGUGGAUAACCUACCUAUAAGACUGGGAUAACUUCGGGAAACCGGAGCUAAUACCGGAUAAUAUAUUGAACCGCAUGGUUCAAUAGUGAAAGACGGUUUUGCUGUCACUUAUAGAUGGAUCCGCGCCGCAUUAGCUAGUUGGUAAGGUAACGGCUUACCAAGGCAACGAUGCGUAGCCGACCUGAGAGGGUGAUCGGCCACACUGGAACUGAGACACGGUCCAGACUCCUACGGAGGCAGCAGUAGGGAAUCUUCCGCAAAGGGCGAAAGCUUGACGGAGCAACGCCGCGUGAGUGAUGAAGGUCUUCGGAUCGUAAAACUCUGUUAUUAGGGAAGAACAAAUGUGUAAGUAACUAUGCACGUCUUGACGGUACCUAAUCAGAAAGCCACGGCUAACUACGUG
rnacentral:rRNA from 1 species